rnacentral:rRNA from 1 species
CGGGAAUUUGGACAAUGGGGCAACCUGAUCCAGCAAUGCCGCGUGUGUGAAGAAGGCCUUCGGGUUGUAAAGCACUUUUGUCCGGAAAGAAAACGUCGUGGUUAAUACCCGUGGCGGCUGACGGUACCGGAAGAAUAAGCACCGGCUAACUACGUGCCAGCAGCCGCGGUAAUACGUAGGGUGCAAGCGUUAAUCGGAAUUACUGGGCGUAAAGCGUGCGCAGGCGGUCCGCUAAGACAGAUGUGAAAUCCCCGGGCUUAACCUGGGAACUGCAUUUGUGACUGGCGGGCUAGAGUAUGGCAGAGGGGGGUAGAAUUCCACGUGUAGCAGUGAAAUGCGUAGAGAUGUGGAGGAAUACCGAUGGCGAAGGCAGCCCCCUGGGCCAAUACUGACGCUCAUGCACGAAAGCGUGGGGAGCAAACAGGAUUCAGAUACCCUGAGUAGUCCACGCCCUAAACGAUGUC